UUACGUUCAUAUCAUCUUCAAACACCGAUUCUCGUAUGAUCACCAAAGUUAAGCAACGUCGAGCCUGGUCCGUACUUUAAUGGGUGAUCGCUUUGUAAUACAAGGUACUGAAA